CUUUAAGCACUGUGACUAUGUCAUCCCACUGUCUCCUGACCUGCAAAGUUUCUGCUGAGAAAUUUGCUGAUAUCCUUAUGAGAGUUCCCUUGUGAGAUUCCAGUGUUUCCUCCAGAAAGGCACAUUAUUCCUCCACCAUGGUCUUCUUUUUCCUGUGUACCUUGACCCUGUAGGAGAUGAGACUUCUAAAGUGAUUCCUUUCCCUCUUUUCUCCUCAUCACCCCUUCCCACUCUCUAAGGUUUUCAGGUGCUGGUUCCAUGGCUCUUCCUGAGCCGAAAAUAAGGAAACUCCAUAGACCUUGUCCACUGGAACUCGUUCCCAUCUACCCUCCACUCUAUCCAGGGUGAUGGAUCUCUGCAGUAAGUGGAAGAGUUCUUCAUGGCCCCCAAGGUUAUAUCCAUCUAGAACUUCAGCACGUAAUUUCAUCUGGAAAUAGUGCCUUUGCGGAUAUAAGUUAGGUAAAACUGAAGAUGAGAUCAUACUGGAUUAGGAUGGGAUCUAAAUCCAAUGAAAAUGUCUUCAUAAAAAACAGGAAAGAACCCAUAGAAACACAAGGAAGAAGGUCAUGUGAAGAUGGAGGCAGAGAUUGGAGGGAUGCAGCCACCGGCCCAGGAAUGCCAGCAGCCACCCAGAAGCUGGAAGGAAAUGAGGGAUUCUCUCCUAGAACCUUUAGAGAGAACAUGGUCCUGUGAACAGCUUGAUUUUGGACUUGCCCAUAGCUUGUAUACUCUUACUUUGGAUACAAUUUUAUCCAAACUUGGCUAAACAGUUUCUCAGCCUAUGGAAAAUUUAAAAUGGAGAAGAUUCAACUCGAUUCUUACAGAUUCAAAGCAAGAAAAUGAUGGGAACAUAGGAGGAGACCAAGAAAGCCUAUAAAAAGCAAAAAUAUGAAGUGAACAUUGUGGUAGCUUUAAGAUGUUUAGUGUAGCUGCAGGCACCCUAUACACAUGAAAACCCCCAAGGGGAAUCCCCAUAUCACAGUGUAGUGUGAUAUUUGACAUUCGUGAUCAUCUAGAGAUGUACAGAAAAGGUGAAUCUGUGUUCUGUAUAUUCUGCCUAAGGCAAAGAAAUGUUUAGCUCUCUUUAAAAUAGUUCCAUAAUUUUUUCUAAAAAGCUUUGCUUGAAAACUGUAAGCUUCCCAUAUCUGGAGCAUUUCACUUUAAAUAUUUGGAUAAAUAUGUUAUCUUCUUACUUGGACAUUUCAUGUGUUUAGGGAUUGUCUUCUAAAUUCUUCCUAAUUCAUAUAGCUGCUAACACUUCCCGCAGAGCUAAACCAUUACAGAUAUGAAAUAAAGACCUAUUGAU
ensembl:lncRNA ARLNC1 androgen receptor regulated long noncoding RNA 1